rnacentral:rRNA from 1 species
CCCAAGCGAUGGGGUGACGCAGGAAGGUAGCUGGGCCAGUCAGUGGUUGUACUGGUGUAAGAGUGUAGGCCGUGACAUAGGCAAAUCCGUGUCACAUUAAGGCUGAGACUUGAUGCAUACCCGUUGUGGGGAAUUCAGUGAUCCUAUGCUGCCGAGAAAAGCCUCUAGUGAGUUCAUACACGGCCCGUACCCCAAACCGACACAGGUGAUCAGGUAGAGAAUACCAAGGCGAUCGAGAGAACUGUGGUUAAGGAACUCGGCAAAAUGCCCCCGUAACUUCGGGAGAAGGGGGACCAUGCCCGGUGAACAUCUUCACGGUGGGAGCUGGGUGUGGUCGCAGAGACCAGAGAGAAGCGACUGUUUACUAAAAACACAGGUCCGUGCGAAGACGUAAGUCGAUGUAUACGGACUGACGCCUGCCCGGUGCUGGAAGGUUAAGUGGACCGGUUAGCCGUAAGGCGAAGCUGAGAAUUUAAGCCCCAGUAAACGGCGGUGGUAACUAUAACCAUCCUAAGGUAGCGAAAUUCCUUGUCGGGUAAGUUCCGACCUGCACGAAUGGCGUAACGACUUCUCUGCUGUCUCGACCACAGACUCGGCGAAAUUGCACUACGAGUAAAGAUGCUCGUUACGCGCGGCAGGACGAAAAGACCCCGGGACCUUUACUAUAGCUUGGUAUUGGCGUUCGAUUCGGUUUGUGUAGGAUAGGUGGGAGACUGUGAAGCAUGCACGCCAGUGUGUGUGGAGUCGUUGUUGAAAUACCACUCUGAUCGUAUUGGACGUCUAACCUCGGCCCAUGAUCUGGGUUAGGGACAGUGCCUGGUGGGUAGUUUAACUGGGGCGGGUGCCUCCUAAAGAGUAACGGAGGCGCCCAAAGGUUCCCUCAGCCUGGAUGGCAAUCAGGUGUUGAGUGCAAGUGCACAAGGGGGCUUGACUGUGAGACUGACACGUCGAGCAGGGACGAAAGUCGGGACUAGUGAUCCGGCACCGGCAAGUGGAAGCGGUGUCGCUCAACGGAUAAAAGGUACCCCGGGGAUAACAGGCUGAUCUUCCCCAAGAGUCCAUAUCGACGGGAUGGUUUGGCACCUCGAUGUCGGCUCGUCGCAUCCUGGGGCUGGAGUAGGUCCCAAGGGUUGGGCUGUUCGCCCAUUAAAGCGGCACGCGAGCUGGGUUUAGAACGUCGUGAGACAGUUCGGUCUCUAUCCGCCGCGCGCGUAAGAAACUUGAGGAAGGCUGUCCCUAGUACGAGAGGACCGGGACGGACGAACCUCUGGUGUGCCAGUUGUUCCACCAGGAGCAUGGCUGGUUAGCUACGUUCGGAAGGGAUAACCGCUGAAAGCAUCUAAGCGGGAAGCCUGUUCCAAGAUGAGGUUUCUCACCACCUUGCGUGGUUAAGGCCCCCUACAGACCAUGGGGUUGAUAGGCCGGAACUGGAAGCGCAGCAAUGCGUGGAGGUGACCGGUACUAAUAGGCCGAGGGCUUAC